rnacentral:rRNA from 1 species
CUGGCUCAGGAUGAACGCUAGCUACAGGCUUAACACAUGCAAGUCGAGGGGCAGCAGGACGAUAGCCUGCUAUUGUUGCUGGCGACCGGCGCACGGGUGAGUAACGCGUAUCCAACCUUCCCCUUAGUAGGGCAUAGCCCGGUGAAAAUCGGAUUAAUACCCUAUGUUGUGUCAUGAGGACAUCUGAAUAACACUAAAGAUUUAUCGCUAAGGGAUGGGGAUGCGUCCGAUUAGGUAGUCGGCGGGGUAACGGCCCACCGAGCCCUCGAUCGGUAGGGGUUCUGAGAGGAAGGUCCCCCACACUGGUACUGAGACACGGACCAGACUCCUACGGGAGGCAGCAGUGAGGAAUAUUGGUCAAUGGGCGCGAGCCUGAACCAGCCAAGUAGCCGUGCAGGAUGACGGCCCUAUGGGUUGUAAACUGCUUUUAUACGGGGAUAAAGUGAGGGACGUGUCCCUUAUUGUAGGUACCGUAUGAAUAAGGACCGGCUAAUUCCGUGCCAGCAGCCGC